rnacentral:lncRNA from 10 species
AUGUGCAUUUUGUAGGAAGAAAACUGUGAAUGGAAAAAGGAGAAGGGGAGAGAAACGGGGGAAAUCUGGAUAAUACAUUAAAGUAACCAUAAUUUUGGAGAUGCAUUCAUCUUAUUGAAAAUAUAUUUCCUCAUGGUUGUGAUUCCUCUUCACUCUUUUGAAUUUGGAAGGAUGGCAUACACAUCUGAAAAAUACCACUACUUCCUUCAUUGGACUGCAAGGUAUUUCUGUUUGGAAAAGUAAUGGAGUCCAGUCAACUUCAUUGAUCGCCAAGGACUGUCAAAAUUAUAAAACUUGCUGUGGAGCUCUGACAUGCCAGAAGCCGCUAGAAAAAGAAGUUUGACAUUCAGAAACUUAUCAAGAGGUUCUACUCUUUGGAUAGAGACCAAAAUCAUACUUUGAAAAAGCCUGACAGGUUUCUUCGGAAAAGUGGCCAUCCAUGGAAUGAAUGAAAUGUUCUCUUUCUAUUCCAAUCCAACUUAGAAAUAAUGUUUCAUUCAAGAUAAGGCUCGUGGCUUAGGAGAUUGUGACCUGGCUUGCAUCAUUCUAAGACUUCUAUCGUCUGUUUUCAAAACCCAAGGAGGACCUCCUUUUCUGUGUGAUAGUUCCUCAUGCUUUGCCAGCCACUGGGUCUUUAAGGAAGCUUGCCAAGAGUUCCCGGCUGGGAAGGACAGUUCGAGUUCAUCAUAGACAAUGAGCUGGCACCACAGUUUAAGUGACUCACCAACCUGGUUGCCCACUUCAAAAUGUCAAGAACCACACUAUCUAAUUGAAAGAACUGUGUUUUAGCAAAGUGUAAUUGGAUCGCCUGGCAAGAUCAUCUCAAACUAUGUCUCUGACCUUGCCUUUCAGUGGCUAUUUUGAGCACAAGAGGAGAAAGGAAAUGAUUCCUGAAUUAUAUCUUGUUUUUAAAAAUUAAGAUUAAUUAAUACUUGGUUUUAUGUUCAUUCCAUUGUAGGAACUUAGUGAUUAUUACAAAACAGUCAAAAUAGGUCAUAGCAAAAUGAACGUUUAAGAUUAGGUUAAAACAUUCCUCUGAAAUUUUAGUAUUCACUUUUGAAGUGUCAAUUACUAUAUUUCUGUAAUUUCUCAUUUUUUUCUUGGCUUAGAGUCAAGAUGAAAAAUGAUAUUUGAAUCAAAGACAUUGUUUUGUUAUAUAGCCACUCCUUUCUAAAAUGCAAAUCCACCCUCCCCUCACCAAUGCUUUAUUCUUUGUGCGCGCACACACACACACACACACACACACACACACACACACACACAGACAUACACAGAACCAGCACCCAAAUGGUAGAGGAGGUCCUUCCAAGACUUCUAGGACCUGGAUCAUGUAAGCAGUAGAUGAGAAAAUGAAGUAAGAGAUAUAGAGUAAUAACAAUAAAAGUCAAUGAUUUCAUUUUACAAAAAAGUCAUUGUGUAGUACUCAGAUAUUUUUAAGAGCAAGUAUUAUUAUGACUAAAGUAUAUUAUACUUCUAAAUUAUUAUGAUUCUCAUCUAAUUUCAAGCCACACAUAGGCGCCAUUUGAAAGCAUUUUGUGUUACAACCUAUCAACAAAAAUCAACUAAUAGUUUUAUAACGUGCAUAGGUUUACCCCAUGGGGAAUUAAAAUUUUUAUCUGCAAGUAUUUCUGUUGUUGUGAGACUUUAGGACAAGACAACAUUUGGUGUUAACAUAGAAGAAUAUUCUAUGGCUUUUUUAGCUUUAAAGUUCAUUACUCUAAAAUAAAGUACACGUGGUAUUUUUUUCUUCCUAGUGUUCUCUUAUUAUAUGUAGAGUAUUUUCGGUUGUUGUUUUUAACGUAUACAUUAUUUUUAUUAAGUCAUUUCAUAAAAGAUAAGAUAUAUACUAAUAGACCCUUGGUUUUCUCCUAAUUUAAUUAUUUCAAGUCAAGCAAAAUUGGGCAAUUUUCUUUCAGGAAAAAAAAAAUAUUGAGCAUGAUUUUGAGGUAAAACUGAUUAUUUACAGCAUCUUUUCUCUAAUAGGCUAACAUUUAUGAUGGAUCUUAUUUCAAAGUUGAUUAUUCUCAAAGAAAAGUGGAGAUAUUAGAAUUUCCGAGUAAAUUGCAUUGUUUUAAAAAGUACUUUAAUGCAUUGUUCACAUUGUUGCCAGCUAUUGACCAAAAAAGAGAAGAAGAAAAAAGAAAUAAAAAAAGCAGUAUCUGCUCCAAACGUCAAGUUUUGCAGUUUGAAAGACUUGUACAUUAUAAUUGUUUUUUUCUUUUUUGGAAAGCAGUAGUAAUUAAUACCAAAGGCAUAGACAAUUUAGGGCCAUAACCUCCCUUCCCCCCUCUCCACCUUUUUUUUUUUUUUUUUUUUUUUUUAACUUUAACCAUGAUAGGCAUCUCUGCAAGGUAGGUUUUAACAUAUUUUUUUCCUAAUUUUUUUCCCUCCAUUCAGUAAGAAGGAUAAGCUUUUAGAGUACCCAGUCACCGUGGUAACUGCCAAAAAAAUUCUCCUGAAGUUUGAAGAGGUCAGCUAGCAGGGUCAACAACCCUGGCCUCUCUCUGAGCUCGGUCUAGCAUGCCCCAGCCUGCGGUUGGAGUGUCAGGCCAGAUCUGACCCUGGGAGGUGGACCAUUCUGGCUCUGAUAUAAAUUUUUCGAGUCAGUUCAUGGCCUGGACUCUCCAGGUGGCCUCCAAAAUCGAUUUUGACCCCCUGACCCUGUCUCACGGAGGCAUAGCAUCCACCCUAAGUAAGGAUUUAGCCAGGAAUGACAGCUUUCCACUGAGUGUUAUUGGGGACAGUAUAAACAGUUUGGAAAGCAAGUAAGGAGGUGUGAGGGCUAGCAAUCAUUAAAAGCACAUUAAAAAACAAUUUUUAAAAAUCUUUAUUAGAGAAAGUUGUAAAUGCAUAUCUGUUACAGAAUUCCUGUGAUUUGUAGAGUUUUCUAGUCAGUUUUGAAUAUAAAUAGGUCACAUAUCUUUAUCUUUUUGCAUACUUUGUUACAAAUAUGCAAAUAAGAUAGGCAUACUUGCUACAAAAUAGGUACAGCAGGAAUGUAAUAUGUUCAGAAAAGGCAAACUGGUUAUUAAAACACAUUAACAGGUAAGGAGUUUCUAAUAUUUUAAAUACUAAAAUUUUACAUGUGUAUUUUGAAGUUUUUAAAAUGGAAAAAUAAAGAACCUUUAA